rnacentral:rRNA from 1 species
UACGAAGGGGGCUAGCGUUGUUCGGAAUUACUGGGCGUAAAGCGCGCGUAGGCGGGUUUGCAAGCCAGAGGUGAAAUGCCUGAGCUCAACUUAGGAAUUGCCUUUGGGACUGUGAGACUUCGAGGACUGGAGAGGUGAGUGGAAUUCCCAGUGUAGAGGUGAAAUUCGUAGAUAUUGGGAAGAACACCGGUGGCGAAGGCGGCUCACUGGCCAGUUUCUGACGCUGUAGCGCGAAAGCGUGGCGAUUAAACAGG